AUCGAACGCUGGCGGCAGGCCUAACACAUGCAAGUCGAGCGAGCGGCGGACGGGUGAGUAAUGUAUGGGCACUGCCCGAGAGAGGGGGAUAACUCCUGGAAACGGUAGCUAAUCCCGCAUACUAUCGGAUAACACAUAUGGGAGUAGCUAGUAGGUGAGGUAAUGGCUCACCUAGGCGACGAUCCCUAGCUGGUCUGAGAGGUUGAUCAGCCACACUGUGACUGAGACACGGCCCAGACUCCUACGGAGGCAGCAGUGGGGAAUAUUGCCCAAUGGACGCAAGCCUGAUGCAGCCAUGCCGCGUGUAUGAAGAAGGCCCUAGGGUUGUAAAGUACUGUCAGUCGAGAGGCGUUACCGACAGAGGAAGCCCCGGCUAACUCCGUGCCAGCAGCCGCGGUAAUUC
rnacentral:rRNA from 1 species